UUAACUGAAUCCAUAGGUUAAUGAGGCGAACCGGGGGAACUGAAACAUCUAAGUACCCCGAGGAAAAGAAAUCAACCGAGAUUCCCCCAGUAGCGGCGAGCGAACGGGGAGGAGCCCAGAGUCUGAAUCAGUGUGUGUGUUAGUGGAAGCGUCUGGAAAGGCGCGCGAUACAGGGUGACAGCCCCGUACACAAAAAUGCACAUAUUGUGAGCUCGAUGAGUAGGGCGGGACAC
rnacentral:rRNA from 1 species